rnacentral:rRNA from 1 species
GAGUUUGAUCGUGGCUCAGAUUGAACGCUGGCGGCAUGCCUUACACAUGCAAGUCGAACGGCAGCAUGAUCUAGCUUGCUAGAUUGAUGGCAAGUGGCGAACGGGUGAGUAAUACAUCGGAACGUGCCCUGUAGUGGGGGAUAACUAGUCGAAAGAUUAGCUAAUACCGCAUACGACCUGAGGGUGAAAGUGGGGGACCGCAAGGCCUCAUGCUAUAGGAGCGGCCGAUGUCUGAUUAGCUAGUUGGUGGGGUAAAGGCCCACCAAGGCGACGAUCAGUAGCUGGUCUGAGAGGACGAUCAGCCACACUGGGACUGAGACACGGCCCAGACUCCUACGGGAGGCAGCAGUGGGGAAUUUUGGACAAUGGGCGAAAGCCUGAUCCAGCAAUGCCGCGUGUGUGAAGAAGGCCUCGGUGUAAG